UUGAGAUAUGAUGAUUACUGAUGAGUUUAUAAAAAGAACUUGUUGGAAUCAAUUCUGUAAGUUUGAUUUCAAA